rnacentral:tRNA from 1 species
GGUGAUAGCUCAGUGGUAGAAUGUGUGCUUAGCAUGCAUGAGGUCCUGGAUUCAAUUCCCAGUACCUCCA